GUUAAUGUGGACGAGUUAGUGCUUUGGUUACGCCAAAGGGAUCCCAUGUUCCCUUCGUGGCCCGGAUAGCAUUUGAAUGCGCCGACAAUGUGGCAAGUACGAAGCUUGUAUACCGGGUAUCGAACCUCGGUGUGCCUACUGGGGCAACGCCUUUCUCGUUGGUGUAUGGAAUGAAGCCGUGCUACCGGUUGAGAUUCAGAUUCCCUCUU
rnacentral:lncRNA from 1 species